rnacentral:rRNA from 1 species
GUGGGGAAUAUUGGACAAUGGGCGAAAGCCUGAUCCAGCCAUGCCGCGUGUGUGAAGAAGGUCUUCGGAUUGUAAAGCACUUUAAGUUGGGAGGAAGGGCAGUAAGUUAAUACCUUGCUGUUUUGACGUUACCGACAGAAUAAGCACCGGCUAACUCUGUGCCAGCAGCCGCGGUAAUACAGAGGGUGCAAGCGUUAAUCGGAAUUACUGGGCGUAAAGCGCGCGGAGGUGGUUCGUUAAGUUGGAUGUGAAAGCCCCGGGCUCAACCUGGGAGCUGAAGCCAAAACUGGCGAGCUAGAGUACGGUAGAGGGUGGUGGAAUUUCCUGUGUAGCGGUGAAAUGCGUAGAUAUAGGAAGGAACACCAGUGGCGAAGGCGACCACCUGGACUGAUACUGACACUGAGGUGCGAAAGCGUGGGGAGCAAGCAGGAUUAGAUACCCCUGUAGUCC